rnacentral:rRNA from 1 species
CCUACGGGUGGCAGCAGUGGGGAAUAUUGCACAAUGGGCGAAAGCCUGAUGCAGCAACGCCGCGUGAAGGAAGAAGGGUUUCGGCUCGUAAACUUCUAUCAACAGGGAAGAACGGUCACUGUGCUAAUCAGCAGUGAAUUGACGGUACCUGCAAAGGAAGCACCGGCUAACUCCGUGCCAGCAGCCGCGGUAAUACGGAGGGUGCGAGCGUUAAUCGGAAUUACUGGGCGUAAAGCGCUCGUAGGCGGUAUGUCAAGUCAAGGGUGAAAUCCCCGCGCUCAACGUGGGAACUGCCUUUGAAACUGGCAAACUGGAGUGUGUGAGAGGAUAGUGGAAUUCCAGGUGUAGGAGUGAAAUCCGUAGAUAUCUGGAGGAACAUCAGUGGCGAAGGCGACUAUCUGGCACAUAACUGACGCUGAGGAGCGAAAGCGUGGGUAGCAAACAGGAUUAGAUACCCUUGUAGUC